UAGCUCAGUGGUAGAGCACUUGCCUAGCAAGCGCAAGGCCCUGGGUUCGGUUCCCAG
rfam:Rattus norvegicus chromosome 2, whole genome shotgun sequence.